UACGUAGGGUGCAAGCGUUAAUCGGAAUUACUGGGCGUAAAGCGUGCGCAGGCGGUUUUGUAAGUCUGUCGUGAAAUCCCCGGGCUCAACCUGGGAAUUGCGAUGGAGACUGCAAGGCUAGAAUCUGGCAGAGGGGGGUAGAAUUCCACGUGUAGCAGUGAAAUGCGUAGAGAUGUGGAGGAACACCGAUGGCGAAGGCAGCCCCCUGGGUCAAGAUUGACGCUCAUGGCACGAAAGCGUGGGGAGCAAACAGGGAUUACGAAACCCGUAGUAGAUCCAGAGACCCAAGU
rnacentral:rRNA from 1 species